rnacentral:lncRNA from 1 species
UCGAAACAUGCCCUUAGCAAAGUAAUCUAGACGAGGAAAAUCCUUUUUCGUCUUCCAGUUGAGGAUUCUAGGAAUGUGGUCAGACAUUUUACAAUAAUUUCAUUAUCAAAGUCCAAACAACAUUCAUAAAACCAAACUUGCAGAGCAAGUGGAAAACCAUAUAACCUGUAAUACUUUCCAUCAUGUUUAAUCUUGGUAUGCAAAUGUUGAAUCAGUAAAUCAAAAGCCUUUUUACCCCAUAGAUAGUCCAUAUAUCUGCCCGACUCAACUAAAUCAAAAUCUUUCCUAUCAAUUAUUGUAGUUGUUGGUUCUUCAGAAAGAAUAAAUGUAUGAAUGAAGAACAAAGCAGCAAACUUCAGCGCAUCAUCAUCGUUAUCACCCCACACUUUGUUAUUAAAAUUAUCAACAUCAAAAUACUGAUGAAUAAUCUUAUUUGGUUCUUCAGUAUUAAACGCAAAAUCAGACUCAUUAUCUCAACAUUUUAACCCAGAUAUAAUAGCAAAGUCCCUUAUAGUGAAACGAAGAGAUGUGCCAUUUACAUGUAUCAUAAUUGCAUCUUUAGAACUACUGACAAUCUCCCUCAAAAACAUGCACCUAAUAAGCUGGGCUUGUACAUGACAUCUACGAAUGCUACUCAACUGAGCAAAACAUGUGGUUCCAUCGAAAUGUCUAUACUGAGUUUCAGAUAGUUUUCCAGCUAAAACAUCCAUUACCUCAACAUUUGUAUAACAUUGCAUGUGAGGUGUACGUGUUGACGUUCUUUUGCCUGAAAAUUUAACACCCUGAAAAGAAAUGCAUAUACAGCUUUACUUGCAUAUUAAUGUAUAAAAGCAAAAGGCACACAUAAAAUUGUAUAACUGAAAUUAUGAUCAAACAUGUAUAACUGAAAUUGUAUAAGAUCAAACAUAUAUAGUUGAAAACAUUUACAAACAUAAAAUUGUAUAAGAUCAAUU